rnacentral:rRNA from 1 species
AUUGAACGCUGGCGGCAGGCCUAACACAUGCAAGUCGAACGAGUGGCGGACGGGUGAGUAAUGUCUGGGAAACUGCCAGAUGGAGGGGGAUAACUACUGGAAACGGUAGCUAAUACCGCAUACCAUCGGAUGUGCGCAGAUGGGAUUAGCUAGUAGGUGGGGUAACGGCUCACCUAGGCGACGAUCCCUAGCUGGUCUGAGAGGAUGACCCGCCACACUGGAACUGAUACACGGUCCAGACUCCUACGGGAGUCAGCAUUGGGGAAUAUUGCACAAUGGGCGCAAGCCUGAUACAUCCAUCCCGCGUGUAUGAAUAAGUCCUUCGGGUUGUAAAGUACUUUCAGCGAGGAGGCGUUACUCGCAGAAGAAGCACCGGCUAACUCCGUGCCAGCAGCCGCGGUAAUUC